UUGCUUUUGGUAUAUGCUCUACGUUAGAUUUAAGCUUGCACUGCUUUCUCUAUCUUUUAAUCUCUGAGUUUUGGGCAUUGCUUUGUUGCGUUAUUAAUUGGUUUGAUUGCUUGGGAUUCAAGUGAAGAAGACGUUUGUAUGAGGUCUCAAGUGCUUGGACAACAUUGGCGUUUUUGUUGUUCAGAUGUAAUCUCUUUAGCUGCUUGUUUAGAUCUGAGAUACUUCUGAAUCAUACUGAGUGACAACCAUAUCAUCCACAUAACAAUACAAAACCGCUCUACAUAAAUUCGUCUUAGUAAAAAGAUUUGUUGAAAAACAGCUCCUUAAUAAUCUAUUGUUGUGUCUUGGAGUUGUUAUAAUCGUCAUAUUAAUGAUUGUGUGACAGCUUUUUAUAUGAUAAGUAGCAGACUAGCAGUGUAGCACCUUGGCUCCUAUGGCUUUGAUAGCUCAAGUCUCGCCCACUUGACUGGACUUCUUCGUCAGUCAAACCUCCAGUAUACAUCAGAUGCUUCCUUUCCUCCACUAUAUCAUGCACACAAUCAUUCCAAAACAAAAAUCUUAUUUCUUAAGAGAUCGAUAUAGGUAGGAGGUAAGAAACUCAAAAGUGAAGUUUAUUGUAAGUGUUACAUUGACAAUGAAUCUUCUGCACCUGCCCUAUGCGAUGAAUUCUCAUGAUCGCUUGCUCUUCCACUGCUGGAUUCCACCAUGGAACUUUUUUUUUCAAGAAUCAGAGCAAAAGAUCAUAAGAGAAAAUUAGGCUUGAAAAAGUGGGGUACCAUGAAGACGUUUGAAGCAGCGGUUAAACUCAGACUAAACUCCUCUAGCUUUAGGAGACAUAAAGUUCUCCUGAUACACAACAAAACCAUAAUGAUCUUUAAGCUCUAUGCUCGAUUCAAACAGAGUUGGAGAGUUUGUUUACUUACUGUUUUGUAUUUGGUUUCAUUGACCUCUUUCAACGCCUGCCAGCUUUUCAUCAAAUCUAAAAACUCAACUCCUCUU